AUUGAACGCUGGCGGCAGGCCUAACACAUGCAAGUCGAGCGAGCGGCGGACGGGUGAGUAAUGUCUGGGAAACUGCCUGAUGGAGGGGGAUAACUACUGGAAACGGUAGCUAAUACCGCAUACCAUCAGAUGUGCCCAGAUGGGUUUAGCUAGUAGGUGGGGUAACGGCUCACCUAGGCGACGAGCCCUAGCUGGUCUGAGAGGUUGACCAGCCACACUGGAACUCGGACACGGUCCAGACUCCUACGGGAGGCAGCAGUGGGGAAUAUUGCACAAUGGGCGCAAGCCUGAUGCAGCCAUGCCGGUUGUGUGAAGAAGGCCUUCGGGUUGUAAAGCACUUUCAGCGGGGAGGCGUUACCCGCAGAAGAAGCACCGGCUAACUCCGUGCCAGCCGCCGCGGUAAUAC
rnacentral:rRNA from 1 species